GACGAACGCUGGCGGCGUGCCUAAUACAUGCAAGUCGAGCGAAGUUUUUCUGGUGCUUGCACUAGAAAAACUUAGCGGCGAACGGGUGAGUAACACGUAAAGAACCUGCCUCAUAGACUGGGACAACUAUUGGAAACGAUAGCUAUACCGGAUAACAGUAUUUCUCGCAUGAGAGAUAUUUAAAAGUUGGUUAUGCUAACACUAUGAGAUGGCUUUGCGGUGCAUUAGCUAGUUGGUGGGGUAAAGGCCCACCAAGGCGACGAUGCAUAGCCGACCUGAGAGGGUGAUCGGCCACACUGGGACUGAGACACGGCCCAGACUCCUACGGGAGGCAGCAGUAGGGAAUCUUCCGCAAUGGGCGAAAGCCUGACGGAGCAACGCCGCGUGAGUGAAGAAGGAUUUCGGUUCGUAAAGCUCUGUUGUUAGGGAAGAAUGGAUAUGUAGUAACUAUACAUGUAAGAGACGGUACCUAACCAGAAAGCCACGGCUAACUACGUG
rnacentral:rRNA from 1 species